UCCCUCACUGCUGAGGAUUGCGACCACA
rnacentral:sRNA from 1 species